AACAGGACCUCAGAGUCGGAGAAAGGUAUUAAACGAAGCACUCUCAAAAUCUCGACAAUUUCUAUAAUGAAAUGCCUAAACAAAAUGAUGAUGAAGUGCAAAAUCUUUAUACCAAGUUACCAACCACUCGGAGUGAUGCCAAAUAUAUAUAGAGUUGUAAGCGAAAACUAAAGUUUAUGUAAGGUAGUGUAGUGGCACUAGCCGGUAGUGAGCGAAAGCUAAGGUCAUAGCUCGCUACUAGGGAUGGUGGAGUACGAUCGUGGUAGGAUAUAAAAAUACUCAAAAAGAAAGGACACAAUUAAGAAACGAACUACGAGAUAGUAACAAAGGAGAUGAUAGAGGGGUGCAAAGGAUGUUAGAGGAAUAAAAAAAGAAAGAAAAGGCUGCAUGGGUUUGACAGAAUGUCAAGGGAAAAUAAAGUAAUUAAAGCUUGUUCGCUUGGCUGAUAAGCCAUGGCUAAAAACAGUGUUCGUUGAUUUGUUAUGAAAUAAAAAUAUUAUUGAAUGACUGACAUAUUUAGCAAAUAAGCUCAAGCGAACGGGCUAGGAAGUGCCAACUGUCAAAGCCAGAUCUGCAAUUCAUGUACAUAGUUGUGUUUACCUACCACAUAUAUAUAGUGAUAAUUAAUGUCGGGUUUAAGCUUGAGAUCCAAAUUUAAUAGUGUGCAGACAAAGGGACAUAUUAUACUUGAUAUCAACCUUAAAUCUAAAGGGUUGUCCUCUAACUUUUCAUGAUUAAGGGCUCUAUAGUGUCGAUGUUGCAGGGUAAAAGAUCACUCCUAAGGCCUUGUUCAGUUCCAACAUUUUUUGAGUUUUUUUGGAUAUUGUAGCACUUUUGUUUUAUUUUAUAAUUAUUGUCCAAUCAAGGGCUCACUAGGCUCAAAAGAUUCAUCUCGUGAUUUAUAUGUAAAUUGUUUUGUUUUUGUCUAUAUUUAAUGCUUCAUACAUGUACCGCAAUAUUCAAUGUGACAGAGAAUCUUGAAAAGUUUUUUUGUUUUGGGGUGAACUAAACAAGGCCUAAUUGUUGGCUUUGCAAUACGUUUUGCUACACACUACUGUUAAUGAAAAAGGCAUUACGUAGAAAUAGAAACACCAAUAGAGUUGAGGUUGGAUCAUGGAGCUUAAAGCCGGAUAGAUUAAAGCCGAAUAGAUUGGUUGUUGGACUUGCAUUCAGAAUAGAAAUGGUUAAGCCAUCAAACCACUUUCAAUGUUGUUGACGUACACGGUAAAAUUGAUACAAAAUCAUCCACGGGUGAAAAGCAUUCAUUAUCUUUUACAUUUAUUCUG
rnacentral:lncRNA from 1 species